GGGAGGGGGUAUAGGCCCGACCUCUCGAUGUGGGAGGGUCAACAUUCCUAGUAAGGAGGACGGUGGGACAUCAGCUAUUGCUGCAGGCAUGUAUGAGGGUUCUGCAGAGCAAAGGAACCAGCUGGAGACGGACUGACUGAUAUAAGGAAUUGGCUCAUGCAGUUCUGGAAGCUGAGACGUCCCAGGAUCUGCAGUCCGCUCCCUGGGGAGCCAGUGGCGUAAGUUCCAGUCUGUGGGCAGGAGAGACUGUUGUUCCAGCUCAGCAGGCAGGCAAGAAAAGUUCUUUUUCGUCAGCUUGUUGGUUCUAUUCAGGCCUUCGAUGCAUUGGGUGAGACCCACCCACACUGGGGAGAACAACCUGCUUUACUCAGUCUACCGAUUCAACUGUUAAUCUCACCCAGAAACAGACACACCCAGAAAAACGUUGGACCAAAUAUCUGAGCACCCCGAGGCCCCGUCAAGUUGAUGUAUAAUAUUAACCAUCAAAGUCAUCUCUGAAAAACACAAAUACCACAUUCUCAGAGGAACGGACUUCCACCCCUUAGGUCCCCAGGCCUUGUAAGUGAAGGAGCCCAGAGGUGGCAAUGGUGACUACGGGAGUCGCAGAAGACCCUAUAGUCAGAGCGCUGCCGCUUUAGAGGGAAAGCCAGAAGCCUUUGUAAAUAAAGACACAGAUGGAGAGAUUAAAGAACUUGCUCAUGACUGUACAGCUGGUGAGGAUGGAUGUUGGACGCAAACAACGUCCAUCUGACGCUCAGCGUUUACUCGCUACAUGCUCAUUGCACGAGGUCAGAGUUCCUCUUACUGGGGGGAAGCAAUGAGGAAUGGGGAAGUGAGGCUGAUGCAAGGAAAUAGCAAUGAGAGGGAAAUGGAAACCACAUUUCUUCCUGGCACAGCUCUGUGGCUGUUGACCUUUAAGGGACAAGUAGGUGGAAUCCCUGAUUCUAGGGAUACCAGUGAACUGGGGCAGGAGACGGUCUUGCCAUGAGACCGGGGAAAGGGGUCUGCCUGGGUUUAAUGAGAAUGGAAAGGGUUGUCAGGUCUAGGGACACCUGGCUUCUCCCCACAGGCAUGGCCCUGGGAAUCACACCUCAACGGCUGGACAUCUUCUCUCUCCUGCUCUCAGUCUUGAGGUUUCCUGGGAAAGCCUGUCUCAUUUAUUAUAAACUAAUUUCCUGGGAGAAGGUGGGAGAGAGUGGAUGGUGAAGAGAUACAGGAAACGGGAGCUGGGCUUCUGGCUUGGGCACCACUAGUUGGUGUAGAGGACGUGGUCUCCGAGUUUCCUUCCAGCUCUGUGCCUCGUGUGUCCUAAGUGCUCGAAGGUGCUGAACUGAUCUCCAGUCUCUCCAUGGCAAAGUGAGGGCUCUGUUUCCUGAGGAGCCUGAGCAAUCCCGCCCAGAUGUUCUCAACGCCAUCCACCGUGGGAACGCACACCAUGCAUCAUGGGACAGAGCCUACUGGGAUGUCCUGGGUGUUGUGAAGGGGCCUGGCGGGCACUGAGGGACACUCACCCCAUCUCAUGGACUCAGGGAAAUCACCCGAGGCUGACCCCAUGCUAACUACUGAGGUUCACAGUCCUAGGAACAGCAAAGGAGGAAAACACACAUCUGCACAGAGCCUCAGUGGCCCCAUCCACAUAAUAAGGAUCAGGCACAUGUUCCAGAAGGAUUUCCAAGUGAUGGCCCCCAAAGGCACUCCCCACUCCAGGAUGAGGGGGCUCUUUGGCCAGCCGGUAUGCAGCAAUUAAUUCGGACGGCUGUGUUGUGACCCAUUGAAGGAAAAAGCAGUGAGUGAAAAAAGAAGAGUUCUGCCGUUAUUGGAUUUAAAUUGUGGUUGAGAAGACUGGGACAUAGGAUGGUGCUGGAAACUGAGAUGUGGAAGCAUUUAGAUUGUGAAGCUGGGGGUCCCUUUCCAGGAAUGAGGAGAAGUGGGAAUCCCUAAAAUGAGAAUGAUUUUUUCAGAGAGAAGUGAAGGUAUUCUACCAGUUAGGACGGGACAAAGCUAAGUUGGGCGAGGCACUUUGUGUAACAGAACAAGCCCUGAAUUGGGGGCUAAAGGAUUGGGUUUUAAGUCUCAACUCUGCAACUUACUAGCUUUGUGACCUCCGGGAAUAACUUCCUUAAGUUUCAUUUUGUCAUCUAUCCCGUAGGAAUAGUAAUGUAUCAGGAUGGUUUUACUUGCAGAGAACUGAAAACCCAAUUCAAAAUGGCUUAAAUACUAGAGGAAAUGAUUUAGCUCAUGGCUCAUGAAAAGUCCAUUAGUGGCCAAAGCUUCAGGCAUGGUUUGAUCAAGGGCUUGAACAAACAAAAAACUAUGCAUCUAGGAAAACAUAGUUCAAAUACUGUAUAUAUGAUAAUGAAAGUUAGUAAUGCUCAUUAUUUAAUAAAGUUUGUAAAGUGAAAAUGAUAAAAAAAUUUGUAAAAUGAUAAAAAAAUUGUAAAAAUUUGUUAAAUUAAAAUUAAUUUAAAAUUUAAAUGAUAAAAAAUUUGUAAAAGUUUGUAAAAAAAAAAUGAUAAGACGACUCCAUCUUGGCUGAAAGAUGCACACGCCACCAGGAAGGACCCUGAGUCAGACUAUGGGCCAAGCAAGACGAUUGGCUGGAGACAACCUGGAAACUAACCCCAUUACCUUAAAACCUAAGACUUCGAGCCACGUAGCAGAGCAAUUCUCCUGGGUUCCCUUACCCUGCUGCUCUCUGCCUGAGUGCCCCUUCCCAAUAAAAUCUCUCGCUCUGUCAGUACGUGUGUCUCCUCCGACAA